UACGUAGGGAGCAAGCGUUGUCCGGAAUCAUUGGGCGUAAAGCGCGCGUAGGCGGCCCCGUAAGUCCGCUGUGAAAGUCAAAGGCUCAACCUUUGAAAGCCGGUGGAUACUGUGGGGCUAGAGUCCGGAAGAGGCGAGUGGAAUUCCUGGGUGUAGCGGUGAAAUGCGCAGAUAUCAGGAGGAACACCAAUAGCGAAGGCAGCUCGCUGGGACGGUACUGACGCUAAGGCGCGAAAGCGUGGGGAGCGAACAGG
rnacentral:rRNA from 1 species